UACGUAGGGGGGCAAGCGUUGUCCGGAUUUAUUGGGCGUAAAGAGCGUGUAGGCGGCUUGGUAAGUCCGCUGUGAAAGUCCAGGGCUCAACCCUGGAAAGCCGGUGGAAACUGUCAAGCUUGAGUCCGGAAGAGGCGAGUGGAAUUCCUGGUGUAGCGGUGAAAUGCGCAGAUAUCAGGAGGAACACCAAUGGCGAAGGCAGCUCGCUGGGACGGUACUGACGCUGAGACGCGAAAGCGUGGGGAGCAAACAGG
rnacentral:rRNA from 1 species